rnacentral:lncRNA from 1 species
AACCCCAUAAUUUUGUUAUACAUUACCGAAUGGUAGGCUUUCGCUACAUGUAAAACCCCGUGUGGUAGUGCUUGCCUAGCCCAAAUACGUGGCCAAUACCUCGCGUAGCCAAUCGACAGG